rnacentral:rRNA from 1 species
AACGAACGCUGGCGGCAGGCUUAACACAUGCAAGUCGAACGCAACGCAAGAUGAGUGGCAGACGGGUGAGUAACACGUGGGAAUCUACCUAGUUCUACGGGAUAGCCCGGGGAAACCCGGAUUAAUACCGUAUACGCCCUAUGGGGGAAAGAUUUAUCGGAAUUAGAUGAGCCCGCGGUUGAUUAGCUAGUUGGUGAGGUAAUGGCUCACCAAGGCGACGAUCAAUAGCUGGUCUGAGAGGAUGAUCAGCCACACUGGAACUGAGACACGGUCCAGACUCCUACGGGAGGCAGCAGUGGGGAAUAUUGGACAAUGGGCGCAAGCCUGAUCCAGCCAUGCCGCGUGAGUGACGAAGGCCUUAGGGUUGUAAAGCUCUUUUAACAGGGAAGAUAAUGACGGUACCUGUAGAAUAAGCUCCGGCUAACUUCGUGCCAGCCGCCGCAGUAA